GUUUUUGUGUGUUUCGUAUUCCUCGUUUCGCCAGAGCGGUGGUUCCCGAGCUUCGGGCGCGGGACGCGGGGGUGCUCCGAGGCUGCGAGUGGAGGCGUGACGUGACGUCGCUGGCAAGGGGCGCGCGGAGUCAGGCGUUAGAACGUGUUCCCGCCGCACAGCUACCAGCGGCGGUCGAGUAAACGGCACCGCAUGGCGGGCUAGAGACGCAAAGGGACACAACACAGCCCCCUAGGAGCUGAGCCCUUCCGGGGUAAAGCGUUCUCACGUUGAUGAGACCAGGAGGCGGCUCACGCCUGGCUCCGCGGCCCAGGGGUUGCAGGUGCCCCGGGGGUCGCGGGGAGCAGACGCCGCAGAGGGCGAGGCUCUGUCCAGGCCCCGCGCGGACCCUGGGGACGCAGGGUCUGACUCGGAGUGCGGAGGGGCCCCAGACACGCAGUCCAUGUGCCUUGAAACCAGAGGCACGCGCGGCCACGCGCUAGGCCUUUCCCUUAAGCCUGUGACCAAGAUCUCCAGGACGCCCAGCGUUGGGACGGGCGCGCUGGCCCACGCCCAAGCGAGAGGAUCGCUUGCGCCCGGGAGUUCGAGACCAGCCUGAGCACCAAAGCGAGACCUCGUCUCUACAAAAAGUGACUCAAGAAGACACCCAGCGUGAAUCACCCGUCUGCAGCCAGCCUCCCGAGCACCGUGGCCGCGUUUGACAACUGACCUCUGUCUGGGUGUCCCUGUCCUCAGAGGGACACGGGACCUCAGACAGGACCACCGCCCGGCGGCAGGCAUGAUGGUGAGGCUAGUUAGGAGCAGAAUACACAAAAGAAUUUCUCAAAAAACAGUGAAAGAACAGCAACCCGGUAGAAAAACGAGGAAAGAAUAUGAAUAAGCAGCUCCAGAAGAGGAAACUCAGGUGGCCGGUAAACACAUGAAAAAGAUGCCCAUCCUCACGGGUAACCAGGAAAAUGUGUGAAUGUAGCCCUUGAUGCCAGUCAGAGGAAGUCUGCAGACACCAGGGAGUGGGGAUUUGGCACUAGUCAUGCAGCUAAAGGUCGGAAUACUCCAGUGUGGGAUCCGCCUUCCAGUACCUUCCAGAGAAACAUGUUCACAGGGAGAUGGAAAGACCGUGUUUCCUUUGGGGGUUUGUAUUUCUCUGGAAGAUGAGCCGAACGGCUUCCGUGGAACCUGUUGUCUUGUGAAGUGUAGCAGUUUAAGGGAGUGCACCACAUCUGCACAAUUGAUAGUACAUGCUAUGUAAUACCAUUUUUUAUUUAUUUUUUUAGACGGAAUUCUGUUCUUGUUGCCCAGGCUGGAGUGCAGUGGCACAGUCUCAGCUCACAGCAGCCUCCAUCUCCUGGGUUCAAGCGGUUCUCCUGCCUCAGCCUCCCGAGUAGCUGGGAUUACAGGUGCCCGCCACCACACCCGGCUAAUUUUUGUAUUUUUAGUAGAGACAGGGUUGCACCAUCUUGGCCAGGCUGAUCUGGAACUCCUGACCUCAGGUGAUCUGCCUGCCUUCGCUUCCCGAAGUGCUAGGAUUACAGGCGUGAGCCAACGUGCCCGGCCAAUUUUUGUUAAGUUUAGAAACACAUGAUCAAUGACCUAUCUUGUUUUCAAAUGCUUUCAUUUGUAGUAAAAAUACCUAAACAUACUUGAGAAUUAUAUUGAGGCCGUGUGCGGUGGCUCACGCCUGUAAUCCCAACACUUUGGGAGGCCAGUGGGGUGGAUCACUUGAGGUCAGGAGUUCAAGACCAGCCUGGCCAACAUAGUGAAACCUGUCUCUACAAAAAUAGAAAAAAUUAGCCAGGCAUGGUGGCGCAUGCCUGUAAUCCCAGCUACUGGGGAGGCUGAGGCAGGAUAAUUGCUAGAACCCCGGCGACGGAGGUUGCAGUGAGCUGAGAUCACACCAUUGCACUCCAGCCUGGGUAACAGAGCGAGACUCUGUCUCAAAAAAAAAAAAAAGAAAAAAAGAAUUAUAUUGGCCGGGCGCGGUGGCUCACGCUUGUAAUCCCAGCACUUUGGGAGGCCGAGGCGGGCGGAUCACGAGGUCAGGAGAUCGAGACCACGGUGAAACCCCGUCUCUACUAAAAAUACAAAAAAAAAUUAGCCGGGCGUGGUGGCGGGCGCCUGUAGUCCCAGCUACUCGGAGAGGCUGAGGCAGGAGAAUGGCGUGAACCCGGGAGGCGGAGCUUGCAGUGAGCCGAGAUUGCGCCACUGCACUCCAGCCUGGGUGACAGAGCAAGACUCCGUCUCAAAAAAAAAAAAAAAAAAAAAAAAAAAGAAUUAUAUUGAAGAGGGCAGACAGAAGGGGAAAGGGUGAAGGUAGAACUUUGACUAUAUCUAUAACAUUCACUUCCACUGGGCACAGUGGGUCAUGCCUGUAAUCCCAGCACUUUGGGAGGCUGAGGCAGGAGGAACGCUUAAGCCCAGGAGUUCAAAAAACAAAUGAAAAAACAGCCAGGUGUGGUGGUGCACACCUGAGUCCAAGCUACUCAGGAGGCUGAGGUGGGAGGAGCUCUUGAGACCCAGAGGUUUUUCUGGAUUCCACAUAUAAAUGAAACCAUGAAGUCUUCUUUCUCUGACUGGUUUAUUUCACUUAGCAUGAUGUUGGAGUCCAGGAAUUCAAAGCUGUAGUGAGCUGUGAUUGUGCCUGUGAAGCCCUGCACUCCAGCCUGGGCAACAGGGCAAAACUCCCUCUCUAAAGUAAGAAAACAUUUAAAAACUUACCAUAGGCGGGGCACGGUGGCUCAAGCCUGUAAUCCCAGCACUUUGGGAGGCCAAGGCGGGUGGAUCACGAGGUCAGGAGAUCGAGACCACGGUGAAACCCUGUCUCUACUAAAAAUACAAAAAAUUAGCCGGGCGUGUUGGCGGGCGCCUGUAGUCCCAGUUACUCGGUAGGCUGAGGCAAGAGAAUGGCGUGAACCCAGGAGGUGGAGCUUGCAGUGAGCCGAGAUUGUGCCACUGUACUCCAGCCUGGGGGACAGAGCAAGACUCCGUCUCAAAAAAAAAAAAAAAAAAAAAAUUAGCAUAGUCCGGGUGCGGUGGCUCACGCCUGUAAUCCCAGCACUUUGGGAGGCCAAGGUGGGUGGAUCACGAGGUCGGGAGAUCAAGACCAGCCUGGCCAAGAUGGUGAAACCCUGUCUCUACUAAAACUACAAAAACUAGCUGGGUGCAGCCAGGCGUGGUGGCUCACGCCUGUAAUCCCAGCAGUUUGGGAGGCCAAGGCGGGCAGAUCAUGAGGUUAGGAGAUCAAGACCAUCCUGGCUAACACAGUGAAACCCUGUCUCUACUAAAAAUAGAAAAAAUUAGCCGGGCGUGGUGGUGGGUGCCUGUAGUCCCAGCUACUUGGGAGGCUGAGGCAGGAGAAUCACUUGAACCUGGAAGGUGGAGGUUGCAGUGACCCAAGAUGGCGCCACUGCACUCCAGCCUGGGCAACAAAGCAAGACUCCGUCUAAAAAAAAAAAAAAAAACUUAGUAUAAUGUCCUCCAGGUUCAUCCAUGUUGUCACAAAUGGCAGUUUCGCUUGUUUCCCGGGCUGGAAUGCAAUAGCGUGAUCCCGGCUCACCGAAACCUCCGCCUGCUGGGUUCAAGAGAUUCUCCUGUCUCAGCCUCCCGAGUAGCUGGGAUUACAGGCGCCUGCUACCACGCCCAGCUAAUUUUUGUAUUUUUAGUACAGACGGGGUUUCAUCAUAUUGGUCAGGCUGGUCUCGAACUCCUGACCUCAGGUGAUCCACCCUGUCUUGGCCUCCCAAACAGCUGGGAUUACAGGCGUGAGCCACCGUGCCUAGUCUCAAUGUCUCCUUUUUUUAAGGCUGAAUAAUAAGGCAAAUACCUUAAAAACUAAAUACACAGGCUGGGCGCGGUGGCUCACGGCUGUAAUCCCCGCACUUUGGGAGGCCAAGGCAGGCACAUCACUUGAAGUCAGGAAUUUGAGACCCGCCUGGCCAACAUGGCAAAACCCUAUUUCUACUAAAAAUACAAAAAUUAGCCGGGCAUGGUGGCGGGCGCCUGUAAUCCCAGCUACUUGGGAGGCUGAGGCAACCCGGGAGGCAGAGAUUUCAGUGAGGUGAGAUCACACCACGGCACUCUAGCCUGGGUGACAGAGACUCCAUCUCAAAAAAUAAAUAUAAAAAACAUAAAUAGCAACAGAGAGCAAAUCAGCAGUCACUUGGGAAAUAAGGGGUAGGGAUAGAUGAGAGGGAGGGAUUACCAGGUACAGUGCAGCCUGGAUAGUGGUGACGGCUUCACGAUGUAGACACAUCAGCCUCAUCAGACUUCAUACUCCAUAUGUGCGGUUUGCCUUGUGUCAACUGUGCAUCCAUAAAGCUAUCAACAAAAACUGCCCACAAACUAUUUUUAACUGACAACUUUUUUUUUUUUUGAGAUGGAGUCUUGCUCUGUCACCCAGGCUGGAGUGCAGUGGCGCGAUCUUGGCUCACUGCAACCUCCGCCUCCUAGGUUCAAGCGAUUCUGCUGCCUCAGCCUCCAAGUAGCUGUGAUUACAGGCACCCGCCACCAUGCCCAACUAAUUUUUGUAUUAUUAGUAGACAUGGAGUUUCACCAUGUUGGUCAGGCUGGUCUCGAACUCCUGACCUCAAGUGAUCCACCCGCCUUGGCCUCCGAAAGUGCUGGGAUUACAGGCAUGAGCCACUGCACCUGGCCAGACAAGUUUGAAAACGAGAUUAACAUUUUAUGUUCAGUAAGUAAACUUAGAGCAAAGUCACUUUGAGGACCACGUCACACUCUCCCUUGUGGCCUCCAGCAGUUGAGAGCACAGAGCCUCACUCGUGUUCACUGACAUUUUAUUCAGUGGGGAAGAAUUUGUAUUCUCACCUUCAAAUUUGGUAAAGUACAUGUCUUAGAGUAAAAAUAGAACAUGAGUGUGUAAGGCACAACUGAAUUCCUCCUGACUCAGCCCAAGUUUUGAUGAUUUUCUUAUUCUAACACUUCACUAUGAGGCUACGGUGCUUGCUCCGCCUUCCUGGGAUGACCUGGCCGCCCUGGCUCCCACCAGGCCUGGAGCCCUCCAGAGCCCCCGUUCUGCACCCUCAGUGCUCCCCCAGGCCAAAACCGCAGCCUGCAGAGGGGCCCUGAGGAGCCAGCAGGAGAGGCUGUGCAGAGCUUCCUCUCUCGGCCCCUCUACAUUUUCCAAAGCAGCAGCGAAGUCUAGUCCUCAUCACUCUCCUCUUCCCUGUGUAACAAUUUUCCAAGUUACACGUGAUGGUCGAAGAGCUGAAAGGUAAUUCUUCGUAUUUCUGGCGAAUAUUUCUCAUUCUUGCUCGGACAAACACCUGCCUGGCGCAGUCUGGCACCUCCCAGCUAUCUUUGAGGUUUCUCAGGUUCCCUAGCACAAGAGAGCAGCCCUGAGACCCAUGUGGUCACUGGAAGGAACUCGGAACUCACUGAGAACUUAGUAGCAGGGUGUGUGUGGGUCAUGGCAACACCGGUCAGUGCCAGCCAGAAACCCGUGAUGGAUGGUCUGCUGACACAUUUUCUAGAAGAAGCCUCUCUCCCAGCCCACAGCGGCUGUUGGAGUGGCCACAUUCAUAAGGUGAGGCCAACCCUCAGCCACUGUUUAUUCUUUAUUUUUUAAUUAUUUAAUUAUUAUUAUUUUUUGAGGCAGAGUUUCACUCUUGUCACCCAGGCUGGAGUGCAAUGGCGUGAUCUUGGCUCACCGCAACCUCUGCCUCCAUCAGGCUGGUCUCAAACUCCUGACCUCAGGUGAUUUGCCCACCUCGGCCUUCCAGAGUGCUUGGAUUACAGGCAUGAGCCGCCGCACCUGGCUGACGCACUAUUUUGUAUUAUUUAUGGUAUGAGACAGAGUCUC